rnacentral:rRNA from 1 species
UACGGGGGGGGCAAGCGUUGUUCGGAAUUACUGGGCGUAAAGGGCGCGUAGGCGGCCUUCUAAGUCGGACGUGAAAUCCCUCGGCUUAACCGAGGAACUGCGUCUGAUACUGGAAGGCUUGAAUCCGGGAGAGGGAUGUGGAAUUCCAGGUGUAGCGGUGAAAUGCGUAGAUAUCUGGAGGAACACCGGUGGCGAAGGCGGCAUCCUGGACCGGCAUUGACGCUGAGGCGCGAAAGCUGGGGGAGCAAACGGG